rnacentral:rRNA from 1 species
UACGUAGGGGGCAAGCGUUGUCCGGAAUCAUUGGGCGUAAAGCGCGUGUAGGCGGCCUUGUAAGUCCGUUCUGAAAGCCCGGGGCUCAACCCCGGGAGGCGGAUGGAUACUGCAAGGCUCGAGUCCGGAAGAGGCAAGUGGAAUUCCCGGUGUAGCGGUGAAAUGCGCAGAUAUCGGGAGGAACACCAAUGGCGAAGGCAGCUUGCUGGGACGGUACUGACGCUGAGACGCGAAAGCGUGGGGAGCGAACAGG